rnacentral:rRNA from 1 species
AAGUGACGCUGGCCGGCAUGCCUUACACAUGCAGUCGAACGGCAGCAUGAUCUAGCUUGCUAGAUUGAUGGCGAGUGGCGAACGGGUGAGUAAUACAUCGGAACGUGCCCUGUAGUGGGGGAUAACUAGUCGAAAGAUUAGCUAAUACCGCAUACGACCUGAGGGUGAAAGUGGGGGACCGCAAGGCCUCAUGCUAUAGGAGCGGCCGAUGUCUGAUUAGCUAGUUGGUGGGGUAAAGGCCCACCAAGGCGACGAUCAGUAGCUGGUCUGAGAGGACGAUCAGCCACACUGGGACUGAGACACGGCCCAGACUCCUACGGGAGGCAGCAGUGGGGAAUUUUGGACAAUGGGCGAAAGCCUGAUCCAGCAAUGCCGCGUGUGUGAAGAAGGCCUUCGGGUUGUAAAGCACUUUUGUCCGGAAAGAAAUGGCUCUGGUUAAUACCUGGGGUCGAUGACGGUACCGGAAGAAUAAGGACCGGCUAACUACGUGCCAGCAGCCGCGGUAAUACGUAGGGUCCAAGCGUUAAUCGGAAUUACUGGGCGUAAAGCGUGCGCAGGCGGUUGUGCAAGACCGAUGUGAAAUCCCCGAGCUUAACUUGGGAAUUGCAUUGGUGACUGCACGGCUAGAGUGUGUCAGAGGGGGGUAGAAUUCCACGUGUAGCAGUGAAAUGCGUAGAGAUGUGGAGGAAUACCGAUGGCGAAGGCAGCCCCCUGGGAUAACACUGACGCUCAUGCACGAAAGCGUGGAGAGCAAACAGGAUUAGAUACCCUGGUAGUCCACGCCCUAAACGAUGUCAACUAGCUGUUGGGGAUUCAUUUCCUUAGUAACGUAGCUAACGCGUGAAGUUGACCGCCUGGGG